rnacentral:lncRNA from 1 species
UCAAGCCCUGACGGCCCUUGAAGAAAACACCAUCGUUCAUCAUCCGUUCAUCCAAGAUCAAGCCCCAACGGCCCUUUGGAUCAACAACGUCGACAAAUCCACACAUCCAACCGUUCUUCAAGAUCAAGCCUAAAAGCCCUUGAAGAUCCGUUCAUCACUGUUCUUCAAGAUCAAGCCCAAAAGCCCUUGGAGAUCCGUUCGUCACUGUUCUUCAAAGAUCAAGCCCAAAAGCCCCUUUGAAGAUCCGCUCAAAUCCACCUUUAAGAUCAAGUCCACGGCCCUUGAAGAACGUUCAUCCUUAGAUCAAGCCUAACGGCCCUUUGGAUCAAUCACACAUCCACAAAUCAAUACCUUACGGAGAUCGAAUCAGAGGAUCAAAUUUGAGAGUGAUUGUAACCCAAAAUCAUCAAAUACAAAUAUUUGUUUGUGCACGUUGUUCUUGUCUCUUUCGUUUCAGGAAUUUUCUGUGUUCACAAAUUGGCACGCCCGGUGGGAUAAUCUCUGCCUCUCAUCUCUUUCUCCGUUCAAGAAAUUCAAGCGCACUUCCAAAAUUAAUGGCAUCAAGGAAGGCUCAAACUGUUCCCGCAACCGGCGCAAAGAACAAGAGCGUCCUCGUCGCAACUGGUGUCACUUUGGGCAUCACAACUCGAAGCAUGGCAAGAGCUACUUCUGCCGCCUCUUUCACCUCUACAUCAACUCUGCCAAGGGAACAAAAGCACCCAAGGCACGAGCCUUUGAUCUGUUGGAAAUGUGCCCUAAAGCCAAUCAUGUGAUGAUACUUUACGGACAUUUCACAUGUUAAACUAAU